GAUGAACGCUGGCGGCGUGCCUAAUACAUGCAAGUCGAGCGAACAGAUAAGGAGCUUGCUCCUUUGACGUUAGCGGCGGACGGGUGAGUAACACGUGGGUAACCUACCUAUAAGACUGGGAUAACUUCGGGAAACCGGAGCUAAUACCGGAUAACAUUUGGAACCGCAUGGUUCUAAAGUGAAAGAUGGUUUUGCUAUCACUUAUAGAUGGACCCGCGCCGUAUUAGCUAGUUGGUAAGGUAACGGCUUACCAAGGCGACGAUACGUAGCCGACCUGAGAGGGUGAUCGGCCACACUGGAACUGAGACACGGUCCAGACUCCUACGGGAGGCAGCAGUAGGGAAUGUUCCGCAAUGGGCGAAAGCCUGACGGAGCAACGCCGCGUGAGUGAUGAAGGGUUUCGGCUCGUAAAACUCUGUUAUUAGGGAAGAACAAAUGUGUAAGUAACUGUGCACGUCUUGACGGUACCUAAUCAGAAAGCCACGGCUAACUACGUG
rnacentral:rRNA from 1 species